AGGAGCCGUGCGAGAUGAAAGUCUGAUGCACGGUUUUGAAUGAGAGAAAGAAGUGAGGAAUCCUCUUUUCGACUCUGAC
rfam:Cucumis melo, WGS project CAJI01000000 data, contig: 26340